UACGAAGGGUGCAAGCGUUACUCGGAAUUACUGGGCGUAAAGGGCUCGUAGGUGGCCAACUAAGUCAUACGUGAAAUCCCUCGGCUUAACCGGGGAACUGCGUCUGAUACUGGAUGGCUUGAGGUUGGGAGAGGGAUGCGGAAUUCCAGGUGUAGCGGUGAAAUGCGUAGAUAUCUGGAGGAACACCGGUGGCGAAGGCGGCAUCCUGGACCAAUUCUGACACUGAGGAGCGAAAGCCAGGGGAGCAAACGGG
rnacentral:rRNA from 1 species